ACCCGGAACUGAUGCCACAGGUCUGGUCCCCGGGAGAAACUUCCACCCAAUGACUCGCUUCGUAAGACGCUCAGAAGCUGCUACCGAAACAGAAAACAACCAUACCAACAGGUUCCCAUGCAGGCACAACAACUGUUUGACAACGUUUGAGACGUUAAGCGAGUGGCGAGAGAAAAGAUGAACAGAGAAGUAAAUCCCCAAAGCACCCCCCGGAAGGACCAGAAAAGGGCAACAGUCCCGGCACAACUGCUAGAGUCCAACACAAAGAGCUUUAGAUAGCCCUGGGAAAGUUGACCCCCACCAGCCAAGAAAAGAAAAAAGAACCCAAGAAACGCAAAC